ensembl:lincRNA
CAAGGCUUCCCUAGUGAUCUGGACAAGAGAGAGAAAUUCUCUCCGCUUCUCUAGUAUCAACUGCUGCCAUGCCUUUGAGUCACAGUGCUUGCCAAAGGGGACCUCAAAUUCACUACAUUAAAUCUAUACCAUUCUUUCCCAGAGAUUGAACAUCACCAGCUUUGAAUGAAAUGACUACUUUGAAGACAAGGGUGCCUACCCAUCAUUGACUGCCUGAUGCUUAGUUUCCAUGGAGAUUUUCAGAGCUACCUGACACAGGUUUCAAUUGUCACUGCCUCAGACUUUUUCUUGGGAAAAACAUCCAUGACUUUUGAAGAGAGCUUCUGCUACACUCUGCAAGCCUGCUCCCUGACUCCAAGCAUCUGGCAGAGCUACUCGGAAGAAGGCAAGUCACCAAGCCAGAACAUUGUGAGUGGCAGCUGUUCACAGCAAGAUGACUCCACAUGGAAAGAUUGCCCACAGCAAAGCCAGUAUUACUUUAUUCCAAGGAGUUUUCUUAGGAUUUCACUUCAGCCAGCAUCCUGGUUUUUUGCCUCUUUGGUGAAUCAAAGGAGCUGAUAAAAUUUGUUUGUAACUCUUCAGAAAUUUUGGUCCAGCUGUAUCUUCCCCAGCCACUGUACCUAACACUUCACCUUCCAUUUUGUUUAGGGCUCUUUUGAACACUUUAGGGUCCUUUGGAACCAUUCCUGGUGACUUUUCUUGGUGAUUGGCUUUGUCUUUCCCGGUUCUUCUGAGCUAUUUCAGUUUUGUAGAAGUAUUUUUUGAACUAUUAUGCCAUUUGUACGGUGGGUCUUAGACUAUUUGAGUAUCUGGCCUAUGAUAGGGAAGGCUUCUUAGGUUUUACUGAGCCAGUACAGCUCUGUAGAAUCGUAUGAGAUAGGGAGGCAGGGGUAUCAAGGAGAUCACGGGUGUGAGUAACAUGACCAUAAAAUACAGGAAGUCUAUCCUAUGGUUUUUACGAUGGCAUCUAAAGCUACUUGGUGCAAUCAGUGUAUGGCUGACCUUCCUAAAAACAAGUAACAAACUCCAGCCACUUGGCAUGCCUUUAUCAAAAGAUCUUGUUUAUAGAUACAUACACACAUUUGUGUGCAUCUCUUAGAGACAUUUUUUUAGGCUAUAUUAAUCCUCAGAGUUAUAUUUUUUUCUCUCUUCCUUCAAAAAAGUGGUUAGCGAAGAUGCAAGAACUUAGCAAAUUUGAAACAAACAAACAAAGGCCCAAUUUUACUGGAUUUCCUUCAGGGACUCUCUAUAAAGGUUAAUUAAUGGAUAUGUUAAUUUUGAGCUUGCUAUGCCCUACUCAGAGUUACUCCGUAUUUUAUAAUACUUCUUGGGCUUUUUGUUGUUUGUUUAUUUUUCGAGACAGGGUUUCUCCCACUUUGUAGACCAGGCUGGCCUGGAACUCACUGAGAUCUGCCUGCCUAUGUCUCCCAGCCCAAGUGCUGGGAUUAAAGGCAUGUGCCACCACCGCCCAGCCAGUGCUUUUUUUUUUUUUUUUUUUUUUUUUUUUUUUGUUUUUUUUUUUCUUCUGGCUGUUUGUUGCCCUAGAAGUCAGACCUUUACAAGUGGCUUUGAAAAGGGUGACAGCAGUCCCCUGGGUGGAUAGAAACUGCAAAUCUACCACCCCUGCUGCACAGACUGACAAAGGAUUUACUCCUGGGACUAGGAAGGGAGUAAUGGCGUGAGUCUGUUCCAGAGAAUUGAAUCUGUGGGGGCACGUGUGUAAGCAUUGCAGCUUGGAUGGAAAAGUAUCCUGGCAGUCGGAGGGCAAGGAAUAUCACAAAGUCACUGUAAGGACAGCAGCUUACAGCUCUGCUCCGGGGAAAGGCUUCCCCAUCCAAGUUGUUGCAGCUCUGCUGAGGUCUGGGGUAGUCCCCAGGCUCCACUUUGGGAACUCUUCCCCAGCAGAAGCUGUUACAGCUGGGCCCUCUUCUGUAAAAGCUGCACAACAAACCUCACUCAAGAGAUUUAUCCAGGAGGAGGAAUCCAGGUGGUGGCUGCCUCUAGGGUGAGAAGCAGCUGCAAACUGAACAGGGUACAGAGCUUAUGUAGGGUUUCUUGGGGAGGGGGCUUGAGAUUGGUAGAUUUUUGUGGUCUGAUCCUGGGACAAUCUCGGGGAUUGGUGGAAUUUCAAGCCCUGGUCCUGGGGUCUAGUCAGGGGCAGGGUGAUUUUUCCUUGGCCCCUUUCACCCUACAACAUGGAUGUAUUAAAACUGUAUCAGGAAAAACCAGACCCAAGAUACGUCUGGGUCUGGAUACGUCAAAAUAAGGAAAAGGGUGUGUGUAUUCCCUCACCUGGGCUCCAUAAACUGAUGGACUCCUAACACUGACAUGGUAUGAUCCCACCUCAACCUGUCAUCUGAUGCCCGGGGUGUGCACCAAGGACCAAGGACUCCUGAUCAUCCCCUGAGUACCCCUUGAGUUUCAGCUUGGCUCUGUCCCCUGCUGUGGGGACAUAGCCUACUCAACUGCCUGCCACCUGUUCACCCAAAUGUACCUGAGCAGCCAUUUCCGGUUUCCUGCUUUCACCUCUCGGCUGAACUCUGAAGCCUCACUCUCAAACCCGACUCAGCAGUACCAGCAGCAACCGACUCCCAGAAGUAGUUUGGUUCAUUAUCUCAUCAACACAGACUCUCUCCCUCAGCCCACUUUUGAAACCAUGAACUGUGCUACGACUCAUCCUGUAAUCUCCAUCAACGUAUAUAGGUAUAGGUAUAGUUGCUGUGUAUGUGCUCUGUGCUGUGUGACAUGAGAGUUGAUGCUAGUAAUUAAGAUUGGAAUAAAAGAACCUUCACUCACCUUGGCCAGGCUACCAAGGUAGACAAUUAUGACAGAAACUGUUCAGCCAGGGCUGGAGAGAUGGUUAAGAGUAUACUGUUCUUGCGGAGGGCCUGGAUUCAGGUCCCAGCACCCAUUAUCAGGUGGCUCACAAAUGUCUAUAACCCCAGCUCCAGCAAAUUUGAUACCACUGGGCUCUGUGGGUGCUCACACUCCCAUGCCCUGACUCCCACAUACUUACACAUGUACACAUACUUAAAAAAAAUGAAAAAAAAAUGUAAAGGAAACUGCUAAACCUUGGGACUUUAUUUGCUAGUCAGUAAAUUCCACCCUUGUAGAAAGACAUGUCCAUCUUUGUUUCUGGCAUAGUGCAUGGGCCAUGCUGGGGCUGAGAAAAAUCUCACAGGGCUUACAAGAAAGAUAUCUUACAGCCUUAAAAGAUGAUUAAAUUGUUUAGUGUGUGCUUUUGUUAAGUACUCGGGAAUCUCCAAACUGCUUUUUGCUAGGCAAACUUAAAAUGUAAAUUUCAAAGAUGAAUUCAUUUCAUGAAUUCUGAGCCUUCAUUCAAAUGAAAUGCUAUAUAUUGUCAUCAUUAAGAUGAGAUAACCCUGCUAUUCAGCUAAUUGAUAAUACAUUUGUUUAAUUUUUUUGGUUUUGGUGUUUUUUUAGGGUUUUGUUUGUUUUUGAGAUGGUCUCACUCUGUAGUUGCCUGCAUAGCCUAGAACCCACUAUGUAGACCCAGCUGACAUCUGCCUGCCUCUAGAGUGCUGGGAUUAAAAGUAUGUGUCACCAUGCCAGACCCUACAUUUUGCUUAAAGAAUGUCUUAAAAUUAGGUAUUUGGAUACUAUGUUAUCAGGAAAGAGUUACUGGUUCUUUAUGGGUCUCAUUCAUAAAUAAUGUUCUAAAUGAACUCAGAAGGAAGCUUGAGGACCACUUUAUUGCAGUUUUGAAAGAAAAGCAGGGCAAGCGUGCUGGAAAUCUUGCUGGCUGUCAGAAAGAAGGAGGUGGAGGAGAGGAAGACAGAUUCCUUAUUGAGACAGGAUCCAAAAAAGCAAGCAAGCUCAGAGACAGAGUGUGAAAAGCUGCUUGGGUGAGGGUCUCCAUUGAGAGUAGACUAGCCUGAGGGUGGUGCACUUUAUCUGAUGAAAAGAGAGAAAGGUUGAGUGCAGGGCAAGCUACUGCUCUUGAUUUAGAAUUCAUAAAAAUGGACCAACAACAGUGACAGCCCUGUAAGCACCUGCAAGGAGGAAGGGGCCGAUAACAGGUAACGUUUUCACAUUUAGGACCGAGUAGAAUGUCAUGCCACCACCUGGAGCCAGAGGUAGUACUCUGUGUUCUUUUGACCAGUAAGAAGUGGCUCUUUCUCACUGGAUUCAAUAAAGCCCUGAUUCCUCCACCCUCCUCCAUUUCAUAGGGUAUUUUGAAUCUUGAGGAGGGACAAUAGUAAAGAGUUCUUUUCUUGCUACCAAGGAAAAUGGGCGGUAGCAGCCUAAGCUGAUGCUGAGGAGAGGGCCCAUCCUAGGUGGUCUCCACGCCCGCUAAUGCCUGUCUUCUGUCUAACCAAUAAUUUCACAAGUAUGUUCAUAGUAAAAAUUACCGAGCUCAAACUAGUGUUUACAGCAACGUUAGCUGGAAGGUCUCUGAUAAUUCAAUGUCCAUGUUUGUAAAUAAACAUGUCUGUAGUUGGCUCUCCAACUGAUCCAUGCAACUUGGUGAGAAUCUUAUUAACUGUUGUGUUUACUGACAACAGCCUGUGGUGAAACUAUGUUGUGUGUUUGAAACUGUGAUGCUGUGGCCUCUCCCUCCUGUUGUGCUCUGUGUUCUUGUUACUGCAUUUAUUAGGCGAACUGUACGGAAACUCUUCCUGGAGAGGAACAAUGGGCCAACCUGGAAGCAGCUUGUGGCCUCAU